rnacentral:rRNA from 1 species
AGAGUUUGAUCUGGCUCAGAAUCAACGCUGGCGGCGCGCUUAACACAUGCAAGUCGCACGAGAAAGGGAGCAAUCCUGAGUAUAGUGGCGCACGGGUGAGUAACACGUGGAUGAUCUACCUCCUUGUGGGGAAUAACCCUGGGAAACCGGGGCUAAUACCGCAUACGUUCGAGAGAAGAAAGCCGAAAGGCGCAGGGAGAGGAGUCCGCGGUCGAUUAGCUAGUUGGCAGGGUAAUGGCCUACCAAGGCGACGAUCGAUAGCCGGCCUGAGAGGGCACACGGCCACACUGGCACUGAAACACGGGCCAGACUCCUACGGGAGGCAGCAGUGGGGAAUCUUGCACAAUGGGGGAAACCCUGAUGCAGCGACGCCGCGUGAACGAUGAAGCCCUUCGGGGUGUAAAGUUCUUUCGACGGGGACGAUAAUGACGGUACCCGGAGAAGAAGCUGCGGCUAACUACGUGCCAGCAGCCGCGGUA